GUCGGUGUGGAGUAAGUUUUUCGGCCAGGGAUGUGCUCGCGGCCUAUCAGCUUGUUGGUGGGGUAAUGGCCUACCAAGGCUUCGACGGGUAGCCGGCCUGAGAGGGUGACCGGCCACACUGGGACUGAGACACGGCCCAGACUCCUACGGGAGGCAGCAGUGGGGAAUAUUGGACAAUGGGCGGAAGCCUGAUCCAGCAACGCCGCGUGAGGGAUGACGGCCUUCGGGUUGUAAACCUCUUUCAGUACCGACGAAGCGCCGAUGAUGGUGGUGACGGUAGGUACAGAAGAAGCACCGGCCAACUACGUG
rnacentral:rRNA from 1 species